rnacentral:rRNA from 1 species
GACGAACGCUGGCGGCGUGCUUAAAACAUGCAAGUCGAACGGACUUCUCAUGAAGCUUGCGAUUGAGAAGUUAGUGGCGGACGGGUGAGUAACGCGUGGGCAACCUGCCCCUGAGCCCGGGAUAACAGUUCGAAAGGACUGCUAAGACCGGAUAUACUUGCGGGGAAGCAUUUCACUGCAAGGAAAGGGAACGCUCAGGGGAUGGGCCCGCGUCCCAUUAGCUAGUUGGUGAGGUAACGGCCCACCAAGGCGACGAUGGGUAGCCGGCCUGAGAGGGUGAACGGCCACACUGGGACUGAGACACGGCCCAGACUCCUACGGGAGGCAGCAGUUGGGAAUCUUCGGCAAUGGGCGCAAGCCUGACCGAGCAACGCCGCGUGAGUGAUGAAGGUUUUCGGAUUGUAAAGCUCUGUCUUCCGGGACGAUAAUGACGGUACCGGAGGAGGAAGCCACGGCUAACUACGUGCCAGCAGCCGCGGUAAGCAUACUCGUA